CCUACGGGAGGCAGCAGUGGGGAAUCUUGCGCAAUGGUCGCAAGGCUGACGCAGCGACGCCGCGUGGAGGACGAAGGCCUUCGGGUUGUAAACUCCUUUUCUGGGGGACGAGUAAGGUCAGUAGGUAAUGGCUGACCGAUGACGGUACCCCAGGAACAAGCGCCGGCUAACUUCGUGCCAGCAGCCGCGGUAAUACGAAGGGCGCAAGCGUUAUCCGGAAUUACUGGGCGUAAAGGGCGUCUAGGCGGUCGGUCAAGUCAGUCGUGAAAGUCCUUGGCUAAACUGAGGAAAGUCGACCGAUACUGAUCGGCUAGAGGGACGUAGAGGUAAGCGGAACCCUCGGAGUAGCGGUGAAAUGCGUAGAGACCGAGAGGUACCCCGAUGGUGAAGACAGCUUACUGGGCGUCUCCUGACGCUGAAGCGCUAAGGCCAGGGGAGCGAAGGGGAUUAGAUACCCCCGUAGUCCUGGCUUCAAACUAUGUGGGCUUGGUGUCGGCUCC
rnacentral:rRNA from 1 species